AGAAAAUCUGAGAGGUUUCCUUUGUUAUUGGUAUUUACUCGGUAAAAACAAUCAAAGCUGUUUCCUCAGCAUCCCUGCCCCCUCACAGCAUUUACAGGCAUCAAAAAUACUAUUUAGAGAUAGUCAAUCAUGUCAUCAGAGGAUUCGUUAACUUUAGUGUAUCAUAGAGAUGCAAAACUGUUCAUUUCAGACUGUUUCACAACCAAUCAGAAACUCUUCUCUGGAUUUAGGGCUGGGCGAUAAACCGAAGAUUUACCGGUGCCCAAAUUUACGACAAUAACCGACGUCAUUUUGCCCAUAUCGGUAUAAUCGGUGUCAAAUAGAUAAAUAAAUUAAAGUUGGUUUAGGAUGUGUGUAGGUAGGCUAUGGUCUCAUGUCCCUUUAAGAUGCUGUCCUACGCCAGAGACGACCAUAACAAAGAGGGAAAGACAGGUGAGGAGACGGAGGACGGUUCAGAAGAUGUAGCGGCUGAAGUAGACAAAGUUAAUGAGGGAGGGGGUGAUCAGCUUGUGGAGUAGUUAUCAUCCAUUUAUCAAUAUAUCCUGAUAUUGAUUUGAGGUCAUAUCGCCCAGCCCUAUCUAGAGUUUGAAUCAAAUUUUUAGAUGUCAUAUCAAAUUGGUAGCAGUGAACUCCUAUUAGACUCCUAUUGUCAAAGUGGCUGUUUUUACUUUCAAUAUUUAGCCACAGGUUGUCAAAGCAAACUUGCUCAGCGAUUUAAAUUCCACUGAAAAGCGUCUUGAGUUCACAGAAGCUCAAAGUACAGUGGAAGGACAUUUCUAACACUCUGAAUUGGUGAUAUUAAUGACUCAGUCCCCUUCAGGUUUCCAAAAUCCGUCAUUCUGAAGAGAGACAUGCUUCCUGUUUGAUACGCAUGAAAAAGAUCAACAUUCAUGUGACGCAGACGUCGUUAUGAAAACAUUUAAUUUCAUUUCAGGGUCACCUGACGCAGAUUUGGAGGAAACACUUGACUGUGAGGAGAGGAAACGACCUAAAUGUGAGACUAAAAAGGUGCUUUAACUUCAUAUCUGACGUAUUGAGUGAUAGAGGAAAUUAUCAUUUAGUUGCAGCUCCUGUUAAAUCCUACCACAGCAGCAGCAGCAGCACUGGGUUUGAUGCUUUGAGCUUGAGGCAAUCAUGAUUAUUCUGGCUGCUCUGCAUGAAAACAAAACUGGAAAGACAGGCGAACGGCUGAUUAAACUAAUGAGAUACAAAUGAAUAUUUCAGGGCUGGUGUUAUUGAGAUUGGAUAUACACAGGUAUGAAACCGAGAUAAGGUGUUGUUGUUGUUAUUCUGCAGCGUGGAUCAGACUGAUACAGAGCCUUGUUGUGUAAAUGCAGCGUGAGAGAGAAUCAGAGAGACUACAGGGAGGCUGUGCGGGCAGAAACUGCUGUGUACAUGUAGGCAGCGCUGCUAUAUUUAGAAGAAGCAGGCAUGCAGCGCUGCCCGUCUCUGGCCAUUCACAGCUAUUAGGGCCAGAGACUCAGGACGUGACCCAAGUCCAACAGUCAGUUAGUGGAAGAGGAGAGGAAGCCGAUCGACCAGCUCGGCGUCCUUCCUGUCCCUGUUGACGAGCGAGGCCGACAAUGAAUGAGCACCUGACGUCCUGACGAGCGGCUUCAGUGACAUGGCAGCUACGCAUCUGCUGGUGCUUUCAAAGGCGUGGGAGAAACCAAACACUGAAGUUUGCUUCUUAUAACAAAACAGGACAUGUAGGUGUUUGUGGCGAGUUACUCAUGUUCUUUUUUCAUACGGAGGAGGACUAUUUUUAGGUAUUGAUUAAAACGCUCUGCCAGAACGAGAAUAACUUUUGUCUUCUUGAACGUGUUUUUAUGACACUUAAGAAAAAGAUGUUUUAUAUUUACACCCGAGACACGACUCUAAGUUUUACCAGUCAUCCUCUUUCUAUGAGAAACAACAUAAAAUGAUCAAAAUCUUCCAAGAAAAGAUGUUUUUAAAUAGUUUCUUCUGAUUUAUCGAGAGCUAAAACUGAAAAAAAAUUGCUCAAAAUUUUCAAAUGGUAACUUUAUUUAAAUUCAGUAUUAUUGCUGGGAAAAAAACUAACAGAACAAAACCAUUCAUGGUGAUAACAUGUCAAGCAGGGCUCGACAGUGCGAGCAUUUCACUUGCAUUUGAGACUAAAAAUAGAUGUGUGCGAAUUGUAAAAUGUAUUAUGAGACAACAAAUGUGUCUUCAUGUAAAUUCCACGGUGAAGUUAGUUUCAGGUUGGAUAUCCGACGGACAUUCACCGCGGAUCUACCGGUGUCUUCUCACUCACAUAACUGCAGUGCGGUUAAAUCUACUCAACAUCCUCGCUGUCAACGUCGGUGUUGAAUAAGGGACCGUCAACAAGUUACCGGUUAAUGAUCUCAAAAAAGGCGAGAUUCCUCCAAUAGCUUCCAUGUCAUGUGACCAAUUGACCUAAAAUUGAUUUUACAUUAUGUGAUCAAUUUUCAUUGUGCCCCUAAAGUUCUUUGUGUGCGCCUAACUUUUUUAACUCAGCAGCACAUGUGUACCUAAGUGACCACUUUGGACAGGUUGUCUUUUUCAGGUUGGUGGGAUUUUUGUGAAGCUUUGCUGCGUCUGUAAACAAACUUCCCCACCAGAAAAUCUUCUUCUCCUUUAACAGCAACGAGUGCCUGCGCUAAUAAUUUCCCCAAAAUGGCAGAAAAAGGAGAACCAGUUGCAGCUCAGCUCUUUGUACGGUGGUUUCAAAUGUUACCACAGAACAUUUUCUAGAUCUGGUUCUCAAAGCGACGCUCGGGGCAAGAGAAUGAGGAGAUGUGCAGAGACAGAUGAAGAAAGUCUGACCCGGCAUCAGGCUCCGGUUCAGCCUCCAUCAGUCACUAUGAUCUGUCGUCCUCUCCACGCCCAGCCUCGGCCUCCAGCAUCCCUUCCCCCUCUCCCACUGACUGACCACAGCACUGGAGCUGCAGUCUGCUAACACUCCAUUACGACCAUAAUAAACCAGCCUUGCUUAGCAACAUUCGGGGUAAUUAGGAUGCUAAACGGAGGUUAACGGCUAAGUUGAUUUUUGUGCCGAUAUCUGAGCGGAGCUCGAUUCCUAAAUGUGAUAACAACCCGUGGUUCUUUGUGCCUCACUAUGACUCAACAUCUCUGCACGAGUUUCCCUUCAAAGCAAACACAGAGCCUUUUCAUAUUCCUCAACAGGAUUAAACUAAACAUAUGUUUAGUUCAGACUUCCACCCAGGGGGAACAGAAAAGUCCCAGUCAGGCUGUUUCAUCUGAAAAGUUCUGCUGCGACUCUUAAUUUUGGUUAAAUAACACUUAGACCUCCUAAAACAUGCUAGUCUAAAACACCAGGAGAAACAAAGUCCACAAUUUCAGACGGUGGAUUCAUUUACUCAACUGACAGUAAAGGUUGGAGCUGAAGCUGGGGGAUAAACAGACUCCUUAAAUUAGGUGGGAAUGCUGGUUGGGGAUAAUGUCAGACGAUGAAAAGUUCCCUUAAAUCUAAUUAAUCAUGGAGCAGAGCAGCAGACACCUCCACCACUCUCUGCAGAAAUUCAAUGUGGGAUUUUCGCAGGUUGGAACUUCGAGUUAAUCUCGUUGGCUGCUCAGUUUGUCUAAAGUCUGUCGUAACCAAAACAGUCAGAGUGCUAAUUAACUGUGGAAAGUCAAACAGAUGCAAAAAGCAAAGUGUGAGAAGUGAACGUAGAGGACAGGAGCAGGAACACAGACUAUAAAGGAGAUGACGGAGGGCAAAAAAAAACACGCCAAAUAAUUUAAAAUUCAAUCAUUUCUUCGCAUCAAAACAAGAGAGACAGUUACAAACUCAACAGCAUCUUUAUAAAGGUCUAUUUCCUCAGUAAAAAAGUACUUUGGAUGGAUGAUCAGACUUAUUUGUCCUUCCUAACAACUGUCCCGGUUAUCUUGCCGUAUUUUCUCCCUUCAAUCAUCACCUUGCCUUCUCUGCUUUUAUCAACCAUGCCACUGCUGUGAAUAAACUAUCAGGUAAAUCAGUAAAGCAUCAAAGUCGAACAUCUCCCUCUGUAAGCCGUGAGAAUUGUAGAGAGUGAUUUUACUCUCCCUGAACUCCUCUAGAAGACGACUGCUGCUGCUGCCCUGAUUACAAAUCAUUUCAUUAUAAUAUCACUAAAUAUCCCGUCGUGUGAGGGGAACCCCAGUGACAGCCAAGUGUGCGCCUGGUGAGUUCUCAUGUGGGAGGUGAGCUGAUGAGAACGAGGCAAACAGUCACAGAGACUGUUGUAAACACAAACCUGAAGUUAGACGGACGUCAAAAACAGAGGUACACAUUGGUGAUUUGUAGCAACAACACGAGUAUUUACAUGUUUCCUCUACAAGUGCCACUAUGAUGGAUGUACCCAGCAGCGAGACAAUGUCUAGUUUGACAACCAUCAAUGUUAUUUUAGUCUGAAAUCAUGUUUGAAUGUCAGAGAUUUAAUGGGAUUCCAGUCAAAAGAGUGGAGAACAAAACUGUUUGUGUGCUUUACGUCAUUAUUCGUCCUCAUGUAGGCGCUCACAUUUUCAACAUCUAUCACCACCUCAACAAUCUCACAUUGUAGUGUUUAUGUCACUACAACACACAAGGACAUUUCCAUGAUAUAUACACACAAAUGAAGCAUGAAAGAGUCAAGAGUAUAGAGCUUAGAAACUUAGAUAUACAUAGAUGUCAUCACCUCACUCUCUGUUUAUGUUCCAGACUGUUCUCUGCUGUGCAAACGUCAACCUCAUCAAGAGGUUUUCACGAGGGCGCCGGUGAGAAAAU
rnacentral:lncRNA from 1 species